rnacentral:rRNA from 1 species
UAUGACGUUAGCGGCGGACGGGUGAGUAACACGUGGGCAACCUGCCUGUAAGACUGGGAUAACUUCGGGAAACCGAAGCUAAUACCGGAUAGGAUCUUCUCCUUCAUGGGAGAUGAUUGAAACAUGGUUUCGGCUAUCACUUACACAUG